AACCCUAAUUAAUAGACCUACGGCGUAAAACGUGUUUAAGAAGCCCAUACCAUUAAAGCCAAACUCUAGCUACGCUGUAAAAAGCCUCAGCUACUGUAAGCCCCACUACGAAAGUGACUUUAAAAUAUCUGAACACACGACAGCUAAGGCCCAAACUGGGAUUAGAUACCCCACUAUGCUUAGCCCUAAACCUAAAGGAUCCACAUAACAAGACCCUUCGCCAGAGUACUACUAGCCAAAGCUUAAAACUCAAGGGACUUGGCGGUGCUUUAUAUCCCUCUAGAGGAGCCUGUUCUAUAAUCGAUAAACCCCGAUAAACCUCACCAACCCUUGCCAACU
rnacentral:rRNA from 1 species